GUUUAUUGUGUAUCGAGCGAGGGAGAUAGGGAGAGGGGAGGGGGGAUUGCAUCUGGAAUUCAUCAAAUUCAAAGAAAAUCUGCCCUUCUUACCUAAAUCAAUAGCAAGAAACCCCAUUGAUCAAGUCUUCACACAUCAAAUAAUAAGCACUAAAAGAAACAGAAAAGGGGAGAAUUCCAAUUGAUAACUGAGAACUUAGGGUGAAUUGAAUGAGACUGAGUAGACUAGAGGCAGAGAAGAGUGUCCGUAUCACCGUCGGCAACCCCAUAUUUGCGGAGGAAGAAAAGGGCCGCCAUAGUGGUGAUAAGUAGAAUGAUUGUUAGUAUUUUGUACAGAUUUUCCGAAACCCAUGUGGAAAAAUCAAAAUUCUUGGUCUCAGAAAAUCGAUUUGAAGCUAAAAUUGGUCUGCUUCUAGGUUGAUUACUUUUGGGUUUUUCACGGUCUUGGAACCCCUUGUUUCUCUACAAUUUCUUGUGCGGCUUGGAUCUCCGACUCUGAGUUUCAACUUUGGGUUUUUUGAAAUUUCGCUGUUGAAUUUUAGGUAAAUGGACAAAGAGAAGAAAGCAUCAAAUUCCAGCAACCAGAUUAUGGUGGAGAGGCCGGCUCCGGUGUUAUAGGUCAAAACUUUUAAAAAGAAUGUUAGGAAAGGAGGUGACGGGUUUUUUCAAUUUUGGGCUCAUUUGUACAUAAGGAAAGUUUG
rnacentral:lncRNA from 1 species